rnacentral:rRNA from 1 species
ACUCCAGUUGAUCCUGCUGGAGGGUACUGCUAUCAGAGUUCGAUUAAGCCAUGCAAGUCUACUCUUGCACUUGUAAGAGUGGCAUACGGCUGAGUAACACGUAGUCAACCUAGCCUAAGGACGUGGAUAACCUCGGGAAACUGAGGCUAACCCGCGAUAAAUCAUCUAUGCUGCAAUGCUUGAUGGUUUAAAAGGCAAGUGAAUUGGAACUUGUCCGCCUUAGGAUGGGACUGCGGAGGAUUAGCUAGUAGGUGAGGUAACGGCUCACCUAGGCGAUAAUCCUUAGGGGCCAUGGGAGUGGUGGCCCCCAGAAGGGUACUGAGACAAGGACCCUAGUCCUACGGGAUGCAGCAGGCGCGAAACCUUUACAAUGCGCGCAAGCGUGAUAGGGGGACUCUGAGUGGUGUAAGCUUAGCUUAUACCUUUUGCCGACUGUAAAUAAAACUUUUUCGGGUUGCCUAAAAAGCUUCACCAAAAAAUUUAUAAAGGUCGGAGAAUAAGGGUGUGGGCAAACAAAUCUGAAGAUUUGCUUAUACAUGACAGUCUUUAGGAAUUGGCCUAAGACUGGUGGCAGCCGCCGCGGUAAAACCAGCGCCUCGAGUGGUACCCACGAAUAUUGGGUCUAAAGCGUUCGUAGCCGGUCUAUUAAGUCCACUGUGAAAUGUUGGAGCUCAACUCUAACGCGUGCAGUGGAUACUGUUAAACUUGAGAGCGGGGGAGGACAGGAGUACUUCCAGGGUAGGGGUAAAAUCCGUUGAGCCUGGAAGGACUACCAGUGGCGUAUUGCACGACAUGUCACAAAUUUAAAUUUUAAUAUAAUGAGAUGGAGUGCAAGCUAAGGCGUCUGUCCAAAACGCAUCUGACGGUGAGGAACUAAAGCGAGGGGAGCGAACGGGAUUAGAUACCCCGGUAGUCCUCGCUGUAAAUUAUGUCGACUGUGGUGUUAUACCAGAGUAAUCUGGUAUAGUGCUGUAGGGUAGACAAGAUGUAAGGGUUUUUAGGUACGUGCUUACAUCUUGGCUUAGCUGUUAAGUCGACCACCUGGGGAGUACGAUCGCAAGAUUGAAACUUAAAGGAAUUGGCGGGGGAGCACCACAAGGGGUGGAUAUAUAGAUUAGCAUUAGUGCUAACUAUACCGAAAGCUACGGUUUAAUUGGAUACAACGCCGGGAACAUCACCAGCGGCGACGGCAGAAUGAAGGUCAGACUAAAGAUCUUGCCUAACGAGCCGAGAGGUAUUGCAUGGCCAUCGUCAGCUCGUGGUGUGAACAUGAUUCAUGUUGAUUGUGAAUUCAUGGCACAAAUUGUCCUGUUAAGUCAGGCAACGAGCGAGACCCAUGCUCUUAGUUGCUAACUUUAUCUCCGGAUAAGGUGCACUCUAAGAGGACUGCCCGUGCUAAAUGGGAGGAAGGAGUGGGCAACGGUAGGUCAGUAUGGUCCGAAACCGCUGGGCUACACGCGGCAUACAGUGGGUGGAACAAUGGGCUGCAACUCCGAAAGGAGGAGCUAAUCCCCUAAAUCCAUCCGUGGUUCGGAUUGAGGGUUGAAACUCACCCUCAUGAAGAUGGAAUCCCUAGUAAUCGCGGGUCAUCAUCCCGCGGUGAAUUUGUCCCCGCUCCUUGCACACACCGCCCGUCAAGUCACCCAAAUGUUUAUUCGGUGAGACCUAGGUUCUUGCCUAGUUCGAACCGAUUAGACGUGAGGGGGGCUAAGUCGUAACAAGGUAUCCGUAGGGGAACCUGCGGAUAGAUCACCUCCG